rnacentral:sRNA from 1 species
AUUAAAACUUUUAACAAUGGAUCUCUUGGUUCUCGUAUCGAUGAAGAACGCAGCGAAACGCGAUAUUUCUUGUGAAUUGCAGAAGUGAAUCAUCAGUUUUUGAACGCACAUUGCACUUUGGGGUAUCCCCCAAAGUAUACUUGUUUGAGCGUUGUUUCUCUCUUGGAAUUGCUUUGCUCUUCUAAAAUUUCGAAUCAAAUUCGUUUGAAAAACAACACUAUUCAACCUCAGAUCAAGUAGGAUUACCCGCUGAACUUAAGCAUAUCAAUAAGCGGAGGAAAAGAAACCAACAGGGAUUGCCUUAGUAACGGCGAGUGAAGCGGCAAAAGCUCAAAUUUGAAAUCGGCCCCCAGGUCGAGUUGUAAUUUGUAGAUUGUAUCUUGAGAGCGGAUUAAAAGUCUGUUGGAAACACAGCGCCUUAGAGGGUGACAGCCCCCGUAAAAAUCUAUUCUCAUUUGUAAGAUACUUUCGAAGAGUCGAGUUGUUUGGGAAUGCAGCUCUAAGUGGGAGGUAAAUUCCUUCUAAAGCUAAAUAUUGACGAGAGACCGAUAGCGAACAAGUACUGUGAAGGAAAGAUGAAAAGCACUUUGAAAAGAGAGUGAAAAAGUACGUGAAAUUGUUAAAAGGGAAGGGUAUUGAAUCAGACUUGGUGCUGUUGUUCAACUGUGUUUCGGCACAGUGUACUCAGCAGUACUAGGCCAAGGUGGGGUGUUUGGGAGUGAAAAAGAAGUAGGAACGUAACUCUUCGGAGUGUUAUAGCCUACUUUCAUAGCUCCUCAGGCGCCUCAGGACUGC